rnacentral:tRNA from 1 species
GCGGGAGUAAUUCAGUGGUAGAAUGCGAUCCUUCCAAGAUCGACGGCGCGGGUUCGAAUCCCGUCUCCCGCUCUA